rnacentral:misc_RNA from 1 species
GUGAAUCAUCAAAUUUUUGAACGCAAAUUGCACUCUCUUCGGAGAGUAUGCCUGUUUGAGGUUCAGGAUUAAUAAAAAUCGGUGUGUUGCUUCUUUGUGACGCUCCGGGGAUUGAGUCAUCUUAAUAUCUUUUAGGUUUUAAGAGGAUUAAAAUUGACUUUUUUUUCGCCUUUUAGAUGUACAUAAUUUCUUUUUUUUAUUCUUCUGUUUUAAUUCUCAAAAUCCUAUUAGAUGCGACCUUAUCGUUUGGUUU